rnacentral:rRNA from 2 species
UGAUCGCGGCGGACGGGUGAGUAAUGCCUAGGAAUCUGCCUGGUAGUGGGGGACAACGUUUCGAAAGGAACGCUAAUACCGCAUACGUCCUACGGGAGAAAGCAGGGGACCUUCGGGCCUUGCGCUAUCAGAUGAGCCUAGGUCGGAUUAGCUAGUUGGUGGGGUAAUGGCUCACCAAGGCGACGAUCCGUAACUGGUCUGAGAGGAUGAUCAGUCACACUGGAACUGAGACACGGUCCAGACUCCUACGGGAGGCAGCAGUGGGGAAUAUUGGACAAUGGGCGAAAGCCUGAUCCAGCCAUGCCGCGUGUGUGAAGAAGGUCUUCGGAUUGUAAAGCACUUUAAGUUGGGAGGAAGGGCAGUAAGCUAAUACCUUGCUGUUUUGACGUUACCGACAGAAUAAGCACCGGCUAACUCUGUGCCAGCAGCCGCGGUAAUACAGAGGGUGCAAGCGUUAAUCGGAAUUACUGGGCGUAAAGCGCGCGUAGGUGGUUCGUUAAGUUGGAUGUGAAAGCCCCGGGCUCAACCUGGGAAAUGCAUCCAAAACUGGCGAGCUAGAGUACGGUAGAGGGUGGUGGAAUUUCCUGUGUAGCGGUGAAAUGCGUAGAUAUAGGAAGGAACACCAGUGGCGAAGGCGACCACCCGGACUGAUACUGACACUGAGGUGCGAAAGCGUGGGGAGCAAACAGGAUUAGAUACCCUGGUAGUCCACGCCGUAAACGAUGUCAACUAGCCGUUGGAAUCCUUGAGAUUUUAGUGGCGCAGCUAACGCAUUAAGUUGACCGCCUGGGGAGUACGGCCGCAAGGUUAAAAAUCAAAUGAAUUGACGGGGGCCCGCACAAGCGGUGGAGCAUGUGGUUUAAUUUGAAGCAACGCGAAGAACCUUACCAGGCCUUGACAUGCAGAGAACUUCCAGAGAUGGAUUGG